AUUGAACGCUGGCGGCAUGCCUAACACAUGCAAGUCGAACGAAUGGCGGACGGGUGAGUAAUUUCUGGACAACUGCCUGAUGUACGUGUAUAACUACUGGAAACGUUAGCUAAUACCGCAUACCAUCAGAUGUGCUCAUAUGGGAUUAGCUUGUUGGUGGGGUAACGGCUCACCAAGGCGACGAGCCCUAGCUGGUCUGAGAGGAUGACCAGCCACAAUGGAACUGAGACACGGUCCAGACUCCUACGGGAGGCAGCAGUGGGGAAUAUUGCACAAUGGGCGCAAGCCUGAUGCAGCCAUGCCGCGUGUAUGAAGAAGGCCUUCGGGUUGGAAAGUACUGUCAGCGGGGAGGCGUUACCCGCAGAAGAAGCACCGGCUAACUCCGUGCCAGCAGCCGCGGUAAUAC
rnacentral:rRNA from 1 species